GAGAGCGACUACUACUGCUUCUACAUUCCCUCGCCAGUGGCGUCCUGCUGGCAGACUGAACUUGCCUCCUCGCCCUGCACUACUACUGGUUCUCCACUCCUGUUUCCAACUGCGGUCCACAAGCGUACCCAGCGUGCCCUUAGACGACUCUACGGUCUGCGCUCCAAAAGGUUACUUCGGCCACGAGCAUCACCUGUUCCGGGAGCGACUACUGCUUCUACAUCCCCUCGCCAGUGGCGUCCUGCUGGCAGACUGGACUUGCCUCCUCGCCCUGCACUACUACUGGUUUUGCACUCCUGUUUUCAACUGCGGUCCACAAGCGUACCCAGCGUGCUCUUGCACGACUCUACGGUCUGCGCUCCAAAAAAUUACUUCGGCCACGAGCAUCACCUGUUCCGGGAGCGACUACUACUGCUUCUACAUUCCCUCGCCAGUGGCGUCCUGCUGGCAGACUGGACUUGUCUCAUCGCCCUGCACUACUACUGGUUCUGCACUCCUGUUUUCGACUCGGGUGGGUGCCUAGCACGCUCCUGCACAUCGACUCUCCGUUCUGCGCUCCGACAGAGAUUACUUCGGGCACCAGCAUGACCCGUUCCAUGAGCGACUGCUAUUGCUUCUACGUUCUCUCGCCGACGGCGUCCUGCUGGAAGACUGGACUUAGCCUGGCGCCCUUG
rnacentral:misc_RNA from 1 species